GACGAACGCUGGCGGCGUGCUUAACACAUGCAAGUCGAACGAAAAGAGGGAAAGAGCUUGCUCUUUCCGGAAUUGAGUGGCAAACGGGUGAGUAACACGUAAACAACCUGCCUUCAGGAUGGGGACAACAGACGGAAACGACUGCUAAUACCGAAUAAGUUCCAAGAGCCGCAUGGCCCAUGGAAGAAAAGGUGGCCUCUACCUGUAAGCUAUCGCCUGAAGAGGGGUUUGCGUCUGAUUAGCUGGUUGGCGGGGUAACGGCCCACCAAGGCGACGAUCAGUAGCCGGUCUGAGAGGCUGAACGGCCACACUGGAACUGAGACACGGUCCAGCCCCCUACGGGAGGCAGCAGUGGGGAAUCUUCCGCAAUGGGCGAAAGCCUGACGGAGCAACGCCGCGUGAGUGAUGACGGCCUUCGGGUUGUAAAACUCUGUGAUCCGGGACGAAAAGGCAGAGUGCGAAGAACAAACUGCAUUGACGGUACCGGAAAAGCAAGCCACGGCUAACUACGUG
rnacentral:rRNA from 1 species